UUCAGGGAGCACCUGUGCCUGAAAAGACCUCAAAGCAGAAAAAAAUAAAGAUCCUUGAGCCACUGAGACGAGAGCUACUGCAGCAGAAGCCUCAAGUUUCUCUUCAGGUAGCACCGCUUGACAACAUCUCAAAGAGGCAAAAGCUCAAGAUUCCUGAGCCUUUGAGACGAGAGCUUCUGCAGCAGAAGUCUCAAGCUUCUUUUUCUUUUCAGAGAACACUGCCUGACAACAUCUCAAAGAGGCAAAAGCUCAAGAUUCCUGAACCACUGAGACGAGAGCUACUGCAGCAAAAGCCUCAAGCUUCUCUUCAGGGAGCUCUGUCUGACAACAUCUCAAAGAGGCAAAAGCUCAAGGUUCCUGAGCCUAUAAAACAGGAGCUGCUACAACAAAAUCCUCAAGCAUCUUCUCUUCAGGGAGCACUUGUGCCUGACAAGACCCCUAAGAGGCAAAAACUAAAGAUCCCGGAGCCACUGAAGAAGGAGAUGCUCCAGCAGAAGCCUGUCAGUUGGACACAGGGAGCACCCGUCCCUGACAAGAUCCCAGAGAAGAAAAAACUGAAAAUCCCUGAGCUGCUGAGAAAGGAGUUGUUACAGCAGAAGCCCAAAGCCUCUUUCGUACAGGGAGCCAUGCCUGCCAAGUCACCACAGGAUACUCCUAUACCUGACAGGACCCCAGUGGGAGCUCCUGUGCAUGCCAGGACUCCACAGGGAGCUGCAGUGCCCGUUAGGUCUCCAAAGGGAGCAGAUAUCCCCUCACGGAUCCCAAAAGGUGCGCUUGUGCAUUCUGGGACCUCACAAGGAGCACUUGUGCCUGCAGGUUCCCCACAACAGGUAGAAAUCCCUAAGCAGCAGAGGCAAAAGCAGAGAAAGCAGCAGAGAGAGCAGAUGCAACAGAAUAUCCCAAAGGGAGCGUCUGUGCCUCCUAAGACCUCACAGAGAGCACUUCUUCCACCUUGUUCCCCACAAGGAGUGUCCAAGUUUCAACAGGAAGCACUUAUGGCUGCCAGUGCUCCACAAGCUGCACCAGUGCCCGUGAACCUGUCCCUAUUCCUACAGGGGACCCCCCAGGGAGCAGAAGUGCCCGAUACCAUAAAGCAAGGGAAAUGCUGGAUCCCUCAACAUCUGAGGCAGCAGAAGCCCAGUCCCUUAGUACAGUCCCUUCCUGGACCACCCAUGUCCAGUCAGAGUAAGAGGCUGUGCCCGUGGAGCACAGAAGCACCUGUAAGUCCUUUCCAUCUCUCAUUUAAAAAAAAAAAAAAAAAAUGAAUCAUUGACUUCAAAUAUGCUACUAUGUUUUCUAGGUACUCUAUUAAAAAUCUUUUAUAUUGUAUUUCAAAAAGAUAGAAAGAUAUGUCUUUAGAUUUAGUCUAAGAAGCACUCAUUAAAGCUGCCCAACAUGAUUAUGUUUGUUCCUUCAACAGGACAAUGUAGGUGUGUGUCAGCCACCUCCACAAAAUAAAAUAUGUGUGGAAAUUGACAAGAAGGUGCAGCAAAGGAGCCAGAACCAGAUAAGCACUUCACGCCUUGACCAGAGCAGCCUUCAGCCCAGGUCCCAGCUGAACCGGAAGAGAGCACUGGACAACGUAGGUGUGUGUCAGCCACCUCCACAAAAUAAAAUAUGUGUGGAAAUUGACAAGAAGGUGCAGCUAAGGAGCCAGAACCACAUAAGCACUUCACGCCUCGACCAGAGCAGCCUUCAGCUCAGGUCCCGGCUGAACCGGAAGAGAGCAUUGGACAAUGUAGGUGUGUGUCAGCCACCUCCACAAAAUAAAAUAUGUGUGGAAAUUGACAAGAAGGAGAAGCGAAGGAGCCAGAACCACAUAAGCUCUUCACGCCUCGACCAGAGCAGCCUUCAGCUCAGGUCCCGGCUGAACCGGAAGAGAGCAUUGGACAAUGCAGGUGUGGACCAGUCACCUCCACAUAAAAAGCAGCGCUUGGCAAUCAAAGACCAGCAGUUGGAACCAGGGAGCUUUAAGCAAAUGUGCUAUUUAUGUAGCAUAUUCAUACAUUUUUGUAACGUUUUAAAUAUUUAAUAUAUAAUAUGUCAUGUUAAUUUGUUAUAUUGUUUUUUUUAUUAUUUG